rnacentral:misc_RNA from 1 species
GCAAACUUGGUCAUUUAGAGGAAGUAAAAGUCGUAACAAGGUUUCCGUAGGUGAACCUGCGGAAGGAUCAUUACAGUGCCCGGGGGCCGCCGCGCUCUCCCUAACCGGGGGUGCGCCGGUCCCCAAUCAGGCCCCAACCGUGUUUAUUUGAACCUAGUUGCCUUGGCGGGCCCGUCGGGUUGAUUCUCGACCGCCGGGGGUAAGCCUUUGGGCUCCCCGGGCCCGCGCCCGCCAACGGAACCCAAUUGAACUCUUGUCUAAGCUGGCUGUCUGAGUGAGAAUGAAUUAGUUAAAACUUUCAACAAUGGAUCUCUUGGUUCCGGCAUCGAUGAAGAACGCAGC